rnacentral:miRNA from 1 species
AUUAGAAUAUUUUAAAAGUAUAGCCACUCGGCUAUACGCUUGAAAUGUUAAUAUAUUCGAAUAUUUUAAGAGUAUAGCCGUGUGGCUAUACUCUUUAAAUAUGUUCGA